AGAGUUUGUAAUCGAGACAAAUAUCCUAAUAGAACUCGUGAACAUAAUUUUGAUGCAAAGAUAUAAUUUAGAAACAGAGCGUCGUCACCAAUCUCCCCGCCCGAAAAUCAUCGUCAUCGUCGUCUUGGCACCCACUGGCGCAAUAUCAUUUGGGUGGGAUCUUCUGAUCAAAAUUAGAAGAUUACGGCGGAGGGGCUUUCCGGGCUCGCAGGCUCCAUCAGAAAUAAAUUAUUCAACGUUUGGCCGGGGGCCCUCCGGAGCGCUUCCGGGGAGGACUUCUUCACCAAAAUGAGAAAAUAUCGAUCCGGAAAAUCCCACCCCUCCCUCCGAGCCCACCCUCCGGUAGUGUGGUUAAAAGGAAAAUUGUGUAAUCCAGCUCGUCGUAAAUUUCAAUAAAGAUCAUAAAUUACCCUUUGAAUUGAGGCUCUCGGGACCGGCCAGCAAACAUAUGAGGCAAAAUUUUCCGAAAUAAAGUAAUACACGUUCGCAUAUAUGAA